AGCCUCCAAUUAAACAUUCAAGUUCGCAAGACGGCGAUGUUCAAUUCAAUGACGUUCCUGCCACAAGGACUUAUUCUACCCAUUGCUUGGAUAGACAUGGGCGUAGAAGAACUACCAGAAAGUCUAAGAUCGCUUGUGUAUCAUGGAACUUAUUCCACCGCAGCAGCGCAACUGGGACUGGUAGUUGUAUCUGUAAUAACCCUAAUAGUGUCAGGCAUCUGCCUAUGUCUUCUCCUAGUACGUAA